CAGGCCCUGAAUGAAGGCCGUCGGCUUGGCGUAGCCGUUGGUUUCAAGCAGGAGCCCAGAGGAAGGACUUCUCCCGGUCUGUUGGUGUUCCCAUCUGAAAAUGGAACGGCCAAUUCGUGUGGGAGCAACAAGG